rnacentral:rRNA from 1 species
AGUAACACGUCGAUAAUCUGCCUUUAGGACUGGGAUAGCCUUGGAAAACUGAGGGUAAUACCGGAUAAGGGAAAAAAAGUGGAACAUUUUUUCCUCGAAAGCUACGGUACCUAAAGAUGAGUCGGCGGCUGAUUAGGUAGUUGGCGAGGUAAUGGCUCACCAAGCCUAAGAUCAGUAGGGGCCUUGAGAGAGGUAGCCUCGAGAAGGGUACUGAUAUACUGACCCUAGCCCUACGGGGUGCAGCAGGCGCGAAACCCUUACAUGCACGUAAGUGUGAUAAGGGAAUCCUAAGUGCUUUACUUAUGUAAGGCUUUUUUUAAGAGCAAAAAUCUUGGAGAAUAAGUGGUGGGUAAGACUGGUGCCAGCAGCCGCGGUAACCCCAGCGCCACAAGUUGCAAUCGAUAUUAUUGGGCCUAAAGCGUCCGUAGCCGGCUGGAUGAAUCUUUUGUGAAAUUGUUGCGCUCAACGUAACAGCGUGCAGAAGACACUAUCCAGCUUGGAACCGGGAGGAGUUAGAGGUAUUGAUGGGGUAGCGGUAAAAUGCUAUAAUCCCAUUAGGACCACCUGUGGCGAAGGCGUCUAACUAGAACGGAUUCGACGGUGAGGGACGAAAGCUAGGGGAGCAAUCCGGAUUAGAUACCCGAGUAGUCCUAGCUGUAAACGCUGCGAGCAAAGUGUUACAGAUUCUUUGCGAAUCAGUGGUGUUGAAAUGAAGAUGUUAAGCUCGCCGCCUGGGAAGUACGGUCGCAAGACAGAAACUUAAAGGAAUUGGCGGGGGAGCACCACAAGGGGUGCGGCGUGCGGUUUAAUCGAACUCAACGCCGAAAAUCUCACCAGGAGCGACGGCAGGAUGAAAGUCGGAUUGAAGGUCUUACUUGACGAGCCGAGAGGUAGUGCAUGGCCGUCGUCAGCUCGUGCCGUAAGGUGUCCUGUUAAGUCAGGCAACGAGCGAGACCUGUACCUACAAUUGCUAACAACUCUUAACGAGGAUUGAGCACAUUGUAGGGACUGCCUGUGAAAACAGGAGGAAGGUGCAGGCUACGGUAGGUCAGUAUGCUCCGAAUCUCUUGGGCUACACGCGCGCAACAAUGGUAGGGACAAUGGGAUACAACUCCGAAAGGAGAAGUUAAUCCUCUAAACCCUAUCUUAGUCCAGAUUGAGGGCUGUAAUUCGCCCUCAUGACGAUGGAAUCCCUAGUAAUCAGACGUCACUAUCGUCUGGUGAAUAUGUCCCUGCUCCUUGCACACACCGCCCGUCAAACCAACCGAGCAGUGUUUUGAUGAGGGUUUAUUUUCUUGAUAAAUCCGAAUCUAAGCUCAGUGAGGUGGGUUAAGUCGUCACAAGGUA